UUGCAAAAUGUUUCUCAGCUGCCAUGUGCAUGAUGUGCUAAUUGUUUAGUGUUCUGGAACCAUGAAUUGGAAUGUGAACAGAAGCAAGAAAAUGGACACUCAGCACCACUGGGAAACAAUACCUUGUCAUGAUAAAAUCUCUUGCAUUCCUGCUAUCUGAGAGAAGGAUUUGACAAGUUAAUUUGAAUUUCCUUAGGUAAGCACAUCUGCGGCUCCAAUUCUCCCUGCCAUUUGAAAUACUGUCCAUCUCUAAAUUGGGCAGCAAUAGAAGCCACGAGCCUUCACGACAUUCCGACAUCGUCACCUUUUGUUUGAAAGAAGGCAAAAGAAGAUACUAUGAGAAAAAGGAUCUCUCUCCCUCUGGAAGAGGGACGCAGUACUCACGCGCAGAUUCUUCAGGAGGUGUUCCAGAAGAGGUCAUUGUUAUCAUAGGAGAUGACAGCUCCAUGCAUGUUACUGCCCUUGAAAACUUUCCAGUGGGACAAGAUGUGGAGACGGUAAACAGAGACAUUGAUGAUUCUGAUUCUGGUAGGCUUGGAAUAAUGUGUAUGUUUGUGUGUUAGUUUUUAACAAAAAAGUUUAAAAAGUGAAAGGAUAUUUUUAAAAAAUUAAAUAGUAAAAAGCUUAUAGAAUAAGGACAUAAAGAAAAUACUUUUGUACAGUUGUGCAAUGUAUUUGUGUUUUAAUUUAAAUGUUAUUACAAAAGAGUCAAAAAGUUUAUAAAAUGAAAGUUUAUAAAGUGAAAAAGUUAAAUUAACAUAAGUUUAAUAUAUUAUUAAAGAAAGAUUUUUAAAAUAAAUUAAGUGUAGCUUAAGUGUACGAUGUUUAUAAAGUCUGCAGUAGUGUACAGUAAUGUCCUAGGCCUUCACAUUGACUCACUACUCACUCAGUCAUGCAGAGCAACUUCCAGUCCUGCAAGCUCCAUUCAUUGUAAGUGCUCUAUACAGGUGAUCCAUUUUUGAAUGUUUUAAUUAUAUUUCUGCUGUACUUUUUCAAAGUUUAAUGUGUUUAGAUACACAAAUACUUACUACUAUGUUACAGUUGCCUACAGUAUUUAUUGCAGUCACAUGCUGUACAGAUUUGUAGCGUAGGAGCAAUAGGCUAUACUAUAUAGCCUAGGUGUAUAGGCUAUACCAUCUAGGUUUAAGUACACUCUAAGGUGUUUGCACAAUGACAGAUUGCCUAAUGACUCAUUUCUCAGAAUGUAUCAUUGUCUUUAAGCAAUGCAUGACUAUUUCUCAAUGUCCUUUCAUCACUAUAUUGAGUGUUCUGUCUUUUCAAUUAUGACUGCGCCUGCUUCAUGUCAAACAUAUACAGAUAUACCUCAAAGAUAUUGUGAAUUCAGUUCCAAACUACCACAAUAAAGUGAAUAUUGUAAUAAAGUCAGUCACAUUUUUUGGUUUCCCAAUGUAUAGAAAAGUUAUGUUUACACUAUCCUGUAGUCUAUUCCAUGUGCAAUAGCAUUAUGUCUAAAAAAUGUAAAUACCUUAAUUAAAAAUGCUUUAUUGCUAAGAAAUGCUAACAAUCAUCUGAACCUUCAGCAAGUCAUAAUCUUUUUGCUGAUGAAGGGUCUUACUUUGAUAUUGAUGACUGCUGACUGAUCAAGGUGGUGGUUGUUAAAUGUUGGUGUGGCUGUGAUAAUUUCUUAAAAUAAGACAACAAUAGAGUUUGCUGCAUUGAUUGACUUCCUUUCAAGAAAGAUUUCUUUGUAGCAUGUAAUGCUGUUUGAUAUAGCAUUUUACCCACAGUAGAACAUUUUCAAAAUUGGAGUCAAUACUUUGAAACCCUGCCACUGCUUUAUCAAAUAAAUGUAUGCAAUAUUCUAAAUUGUUUCGUGUCAUUUCAACAAUGUUCACAAUAUCUCCUCCAGGAGAGUAGAUUUCAUCUCAAGAAACCACUUUGUCCA
rnacentral:lncRNA from 10 species